CAGCCGCCGCGGUAAUACGGAGGGUGCAAGCGUUAAUCGGAAUUACUGGGCGUAAAGCGCACGCAGGCGGUCUGACAAGUCAGAUGUGAAAUCCCCGGGCUUAACCUGGGAACUGCAUUUGAAACUGUCAGGCUGGAGUCUUGUAGAGGGGGGUGGAAUUCCAGGUGUAGCGGUGAAAUGCGUAGAGAUCUGGAGGAAUACCGGUGGCGAAGGCGGCCCCCUGGACAAAGACUGACGCUCAGGUGCGAAAGCGUGGGGAGCAAACAGGAUUAGAUACCCGCGUAGUCCCUGUCUCUUAUAA
rnacentral:rRNA from 1 species